rnacentral:rRNA from 1 species
AUGAGUUAAGUAUAAACCCCUUUACAAGUAUCAAUUGGAGGGCAAGUCUGGUGCCAGCAGCCGCGGUAAUUCCAGCUCCAAUAGCGUAUAUUAAAGUUGUUGUAGUUAAAAAGCUCGUAGUUGGAUUUCUGUUAAUAAUUUAUAUAAUAUUUUAACGAUAUUAUAUAAUAUUAACAUAAUUCAUAUUACUAUAAUUUAUUUAGUAUAUGAAAUUUUACUUUGAGAAAAUUAGAGUGCUUAAAGCAGGCAUUUGCCUUGAAUACUCCAGCAUGGAAUAAUAUAAAAGAUUUUUAUCUUUUUUAUUGGUUCUAAGAUAAAAAUAAUGAUUAAUAGGGACAGUUGGGGGCAUUUGUAUUUAACAGUCAGAGGUGAAAUUCUUAGAUUUGUUAAAGACAAGCUAAUGCGAAAGCAUUUGCCAAGGAUGUUUUCAUUAAUCAAGAACGAAAGUUAGGGGAUCGAAGACGAUCAGAUACCGUCGUAGU